rnacentral:rRNA from 1 species
CCUACGGGAGGCUGCAGUGGGGAAUAUUGGACAAUGGGGGGAACCCUGAUCCAGCCAUGCCGCGUGUGUGAAGAAGGCCCUCGGGUUGUAAAGCACUUUCAGUGAGGAAGAACGCCUGGUGGUUAAUACCCAUCAGGAAAGACAUCACUCACAGAAGAAGCACCGGCUAACUCCGUGCCAGCAGCCGCGGUAAUACGGAGGGUGCGAGCGUUAAUCGGAAUUACUGGGCGUAAAGCGCGCGUAGGUGGCUUGAUAAGCCGGUUGUGAAAGCCCCGGGCUCAACCUGGGAACGGCAUCCGGAACUGUCAAGCUAGAGUGUAGGAGAGGAAGGUAGAAUUCCCGGUGUAGCGGUGAAAUGCGUAGAGAUCGGGAGGAAUACCAGUGGCGAAGGCGGCCUUCUGGACUGACACUGACACUGAGGUGCGAAAGCGUGGGUAGCAAACAGGAUUAGAUACCCUUGUAGUC